AUUGAACGCUGGCGGCAGGCCUAACACAUGCAAGUCGAGCGGAUGAAGGGAGCUUGCUCCUGGAUUCAGCGGCGGACGGGUGAGUAAUGCCUAGGAAUCUGCCUGGUAGUGGGGGAUAACGUCCGGAAACGGGCGCUAAUACCGCAUACGUCCUGAGGGAGAAAGUGGGGGAUCUUCGGACCUCACGCUAUCAGAUGAGCCUAGGUCGGAUUAGCUAGUUGGUGGGGUAAAGGCCUACCAAGGCGACGAUCCGUAACUGGUCUGAGAGGAUGGUCAGUUACACUGGAACUGAGACACGGUCCAGACUCCUACGGGAGGCAGCAGUGGGGAAUAUUGGACAAUGGGCGAAAGCCUGAUCCAGCCAUGCCGCGUGUGUGAAGAAGGUCUUCGGAUUGUAAAGCACUUUAAGUUGGGAGGAAGGGCAGUAAGUUAAUACCUUGCUGUUUUGACGUUACCAACAGAAUAAGCACCGGCUAACUUCGUG
rnacentral:rRNA from 1 species